rnacentral:rRNA from 1 species
ACCAGACUCCUACGGGAGGCAGCAGUGGGGGAUAUUGCACAAUGGGGGGAACCCUGAUGCAGCGACGCCGCGUGGGUGAAGGAGUAUUUCGGUAUGUAAAGCCCUAUCGGCAGGGAAGAAGAAAGACGGUACCUGACUAAGAAGCCCCGGCUAACUACGUGCCAGCAGCCGCGGUAAUACGUAGGGGGCGAGCGUUAUCCGGAUUCACUGGGUGUAAAGGGAGCGUAGACGGCCAAGCAAGCCAGGGGUGAAAGCCCGGGGCCCAACCCCGGGACUGCCCUUGGAACUGCAUGGCUGGAGUGCGGGAGGGGCAGGCGGAAUUCCUGGUGUAGCGGUGAAAUGCGUAGAUAUCAGGAGGAACACCGGCGGCGAAGGCGGCCUGCUGGACCGCGACUGACGUUGAGGCUCGAAAGCGUGGGGAGCAAACAGGAUUAGAUACCCUUGUAA